rnacentral:sRNA from 1 species
UAUCGGUAAUGUAAUGCGACGGGUUGC